rnacentral:antisense_RNA from 1 species
AAUUAUGGCGGCUGUGCGCGGGGCACUUUCGGGUGCGCCGGGUUCCUAGAUCUCCGGUCUUCCACACCUACGCACAGCUGCCACCCAU